ACCAUGCCGGGGGGCCAGGUAGAGAUCUCAGCCACACAGCCCCGCCCUCCACCCCAAGUUGGGUCUCACCGGCAAGGCUGGAAUCUGGGCUCACUUCCUGCCCCAGUCUGUGUCUAGUAGGACUCGGCUAGAAGGGACACACAGUGUCCUCCAGUCUGGGUCCCUUGUUCUCCACUGAGGGGCCCCAGGUCCAAGGAGGGGCCUAGGAGGGGACGGUGGGCCAGACCAUGACCCACCCUCUGAGUCUAUGUGGUGGCUUCAAUGGGGCUGAGGAGUGUGUGGGGCUGGGACCUGUGGUUGCAUUAGUCUCUCCCUAGGGACUGGACAGCGGAAGGUGGACUUAGGGGCCUUACCUCUUUGCCCUCCCUGAACACUAUGUCCUGAGAAAAAAGUACUGGACAGAAUUUCCCCAAACAUGAAAACACUGAGAAGAAGGGACUUCGGUGCUUGGCAGGGUCCAGGAAAGCUAGAGUCAUUGAGAGUCAGCACCGUGGAGUCCCAGAGACAACGCUCCUAACAGUGCUGCCCACGGGGGACUGGCGUCCAGCAAGGAACCUCCACAAGAUAGAGAUUAUUUCUCCAUGGGGGAAACUGAGCACAGGGGCCUUGCCCAUGGUUGUAUAGUGGACUGGGGUCCAGGUCUGCUGAUCCCCAAGGCUGUGAUCACAUCGGUGUUGCCAAAAAGAUGAAAUGGUGGCUGUCACCAGGACGAGUCUCAAGGAUCCCCCACCUCAGGAAACCAGGACCAGAGAAGGCAGCGUGCCCCUGGCUGCCAGCCAAGCCGGCCUGGGCGCCUCUGCUUUGCCAGGUGUGUCCUGUCCUUCUUCACUGGCCAAGCCCCUCUGCUCUUGCGACAGGAGGAAGCGAGUGUACACUUGUGGGUAUGUGUGGUA
rnacentral:lncRNA from 1 species